CCAGACCGCCAGCUAAGGUCCCAAAGUCAUGGUUAAGUGGGAAACGAUGUGGGAAGGCACAGACAGCCAGGAUGUUGGCUUAGAAGCAGCCAUCAUUUAAAGAAAGCGUAAUAGCUCACUGGUCGAGUCGGCCUGCGCGGAAGAUGUAACGGGGCUAAACCAUGCACCGAAGCUGCGGCAGCGACACUAUGUGUUGUUGGGUAGGGGAGCGUUCUGUAAGCCUGCGAAGGUGGCCUGUGAGGGUUGCUGGAGGUAUCAGAAGUGCGAAUGCUGACAUAAGUAACGAUAAAGCGGGUGAAAAGCCCGCUCGCCGGAAGACCAAGGGUUCCUGUCCAACGUUAAUCGGGGCAGGGUGAGUCGACCCCUAAGGCGAGGCCGAAAGGCGUAGUCGAUGGGAAACAGGUUAAUAUUCCUGUACUUGGUGUUACUGCGAAGGGGGGACGGAGAAGGCUAUGUUAGCCGGGCGACGGUUGUCCCGGUUUAAGCAUGUAGGCUGGUUAUCCAGGCAAAUCCGGAUAAUCAAGGCUGAGGUGUGAUGACGAGGCACUACGGUGCUGAAGUAACAAAUGCCCUGCUUCCAGGAAAAGCCUCUAAGCAUCAGGUAACAUCAAAUCGUACCCCAAACCGACACAGGUGGUCAGGUAGAGAAUACCAAGGCGCUUGAGAGAACUCGGGUGAAGGAACUAGGCAAAAUGGUGCCGUAACUUCGGGAGAAGGCACGCUGGUGUGUAGGUGAAGUCCCUGCGGAUGGAGCUGAGACCAGUCGAAGAUACCAGCUGGCUGCAACUGUUUAUUAAAAACACAGCACUGUGCAAACACGAAAGUGGACGUAUACGGUGUGACGCCUGCCCGGUGCCGGAAGGUUAAUUGAUGGGGUUAUCCGUAAGGAGAAGCUCUUGAUCGAAGCCCCGGUAAACGGCGGCCGUAACUAUAACGGUCCUAAGGUAGCGAAAUUCCUUGUCGGGUAAGUUCCGACCUGCACGAAUGGCGUAAUGAUGGCCAGGCUGUCUCCACCCGAGACUCAGUGAAAUUGAACUCGCUGUGAAGAUGCAGUGUACCCGCGGCAAGACGGAAAGACCCCGUGAACCUUUACUAUAGCUUGACACUGAACAUUGAGCCUUGAUGUGUAGGAUAGGUGGGAGGCUUUGAAGCGUGGACGCCAGUCUGCGUGGAGCCAACCUUGAAAUACCACCCUUUAAUGUUUGAUGUUCUAACGUUGGCCCCUUAUCGGGGUUGCGGACAGUGUCUGGUGGGUAGUUUGACUGGGGCGGUCUCCUCCCAAAGCGUAACGGAGGAGCACGAAGGUUAGCUAAUCCUGGUCGGACAUCAGGAGGUUAGUGCAAUGGCAUAAGCUAGCUUGACUGCGAGCGUGACGGCGCGAGCAGGUGCGAAAGCAGGUCAUAGUGAUCCGGUGGUUCUGAAUGGAAGGGCCAUCGCUCAACGGAUAAAAGGUACUCCGGGGAUAACAGGCUGAUACCGCCCAAGAGUUCAUAUCGACGGCGGUGUUUGGCACCUCGAUGUCGGCUCAUCACAUCCUGGGGCUGAAGUAGGUCCCAAGGGUAUGGCUGUUCGCCAUUUAAAGUGGUACGCGAGCUGGGUUUAGAACGUCGUGAGACAGUUCGGUCCCUAUCUGCCGUGGGCGCUGGAGAAUUGAGGGGGGCUGCUCCUAGUACGAGAGGACCGGAGUGGACGCAUCACUGGUGUUCGGGUUGUCAUGCCAAUGGCACUGCCCGGUAGCUAAAUGCGGAAGAGAUAAGUGCUGAAAGCAUCUAAGCACGAAACUUGCCCCGAGAUGAGUUCUCCCUGAGACUUUAAGUCUCCUGAAGGAACGUUGAAGACGACGACGUUGAUAGGCCGGGUGUGUAAGCGCAGCGAUGCGUUGAGCUAACCGGUACUAAUGAACCGUGAGGCUUAACCUU
rnacentral:rRNA from 1 species